rnacentral:rRNA from 1 species
UGCCAGCCGCCGCGGUAAUACGGAGGGUCCAAGCGUUAUCCGGAUUUAUUGGGUUUAAAGGGUGCGUAGGCGGGAUUCUAAGUCAGUGGUGAAAGCCUGCAGCUUAACUGUAGAACUGCCAUUGAUACUGGAAUCCUUGAGUAUAGUUGAAGUAGGCGGAAUAUGGCAUGUAGCGGUGAAAUGCAUAGAUAUGCCAUAGAACACCGAUUGCGAAGGCAGCUUACUGGACUUGAAUUGACGCUGAGGUACGAAAGCGUGGGGAGCGAACAGGAUUAGAUA